AGAACACAAUUUCUGGACUUUCUACAGGGA
rnacentral:piRNA from 1 species